rnacentral:rRNA from 1 species
AAUGAACGCUGGCGGCAUGCCUAACACAUGCAAGUCGAACGAGACCAUCGGAUCCAUUGGCCCAUGGUUGUGUAACGCGUCGGAACCUUCCCUUAUGUUUGGAAUACCUCUCCGACAGGGGUGCUAAUACCGGAUAAUGUCUUCUACCCAAAGAUUUUUCGCCUUUGGUUGGGCCCGCGUUGUAUUAGCUCGUUGGUACGCUAAUAGCCUACUACGGCGAGGAUACAUAGCUGGUAAGAGAGGAUGAUCAGCGACACUGCGAGUAAGACACGGCCGAGAAUCCUACGGGAGGGAGGAGAGGGGAAUAUAGGAAAAUGGGGGAAAGGAUGAACGAGUAAUGCCGCGAGAGUGAUGAAGGCAGGAGAGUAGAAAAGCGCUUUUACCCGGGAUGAUAAUGACAGUACCGAAAGAAUAAGCUCCGGCUAACUACGUG